AUGUUGUAUGAAAGGAGAGUUUAGCACUCUCCUUGAUGAGGAUAGAAGAGAUCCUAAUGGCCUUUAGAACACAUAUACAAUUCAAGUAUUGCCACCUACUCUGUAGCAUCUAACCGAUUUUUU